rnacentral:lncRNA from 1 species
GCUUUUUAUAAUUAUAAUUAUAAUUAUAAUUACUAUGUUUUACAAUAAGUUGUGCGAAUUUAAAAAAAAUUCAUGAUUACGAUACCUGCAGUGACCGUAACAGUGUCCGUUAUGUCCGCGACAAACGCGACGCGACCGAAAACGCGACCGCGACCGCAAUUUAAAUCCUGAUUUAAAUAGAUGCCGAUUAAAUAGGGAGGAGGUGGAAGGAAAUGCUUGAGAGUGAAGGAACUGAAAAUAUGAAAGCUUCAGGGAACUCAAGCCGAAAAGGAGGGAAGGAUCUGAUAAAAACGAAAUUUACACUGCUGAGAGAGGUAGGGAAGGAUCUGCUCCUAUUGAGCACUAAUGGCGAAGAGAAGAUGAAGAAAGGAGGGGAAGCUGGUGCGUUUUACCCACAGAUUUUGAUUUCCGAUUUUGUUUUUAGGUUUUG